UCUCUCUCUCUCUCUCUCUCUCUCUCUCUCUCUUAAAAAUACGGUGAAGGAGGAGAAGACAAGAAGGACAUGAAGGAAUCGCCGGAAUCAGCGCCGUUUCGGCUCAUGUGAGCUACCCACGACGUUAUUUAAAUAUCAAAAAACCACUACCUUAGGUUAUUAUAUGUUUUACACCCAUUUUUUUAUUUUUAUUUUACUCCGUUAACAAAGUUUUCGAUAAUCAUUGAUUUAUACUAUUUGUUACCAACAUUUCUUGAAGUUUCCGUUUAGUUUGAAAUCGUGAUCAGUAGGUAGUGAAUGUCUUAUUUUAGUUAUGUUGCUCAUGUGCUAGUUGUACAACGAAAGUCACUCAAGCAGAUUCCAGGAGAACAGAAGUCAUCUUCGGAAAUUUUAUUUAGAUUUGGAAGCCGUGCUUUUACAGAAUGGAUGUUCAUGUUAGAGGUCUGGAAAGACAUAUUGCAGCGAGCCAGAGACUACGCUCCCUAUAUAAUGAUGCGUCCCAAAUUAAAUUGUCCGAUAUCCUUUAGUAGAAAUUCCCGUUAGUGUCUUGCAUCAUCUAGUGUAUGUGUUGUUUAAUUUUGUGCAAGUAUAAUUAUGCAAAGGCACAUUUGUUGAUUCUACUAUAAAAAAAACCAUAAAUAUAAUUACUUUUAUAUAUAAACAAAAUUCG
rnacentral:lncRNA from 1 species